UUUUUUAGUAGCUGUGGUUGAAAGUCGAAGCCAGUCGCAGGCGAAACGAUCCACAUAAGGUAAACUUUGUUUACUGAGCAUGGUGCGGUUUUGGAGUAAGUCCUGCCUUAACCUUAAUUGGUGAUAAUAAUAAGAGAAGGGUAGUAGUGAGGGAUAAAGUUCCUGAGCAAACCUCUCAGCAGGCGAGUGUGGGGGCAAAGACCAGGUCAGUCUGAAGAA
rnacentral:ncRNA from 12 species